rnacentral:tRNA from 1 species
GGCGCUGGUUGCGGUCGGAGCCAUCGCGGUGGUACUGCUGGUGUCGUCGCUGGUUCGAUGGCAGGCCCUGGUGGUUCUGUCCUCCGGCGUCC